rnacentral:tRNA from 1 species
GCGCCCGUAGCUCAAUUGGACAGAGUGGAGGCCUUCGAAGCCUACGGUUGGGGGUUCGAGUCCCUCCGGGCGCGCCA